GACGAACGCUGGCGGCGUGCUUAACACAUGCAAGUCGAACGGUGAAAGCGGAGCUUGCUCCGCUGGAUCAGUGGCGAACGGGUGAGUAACACGUGGGCAACCUGCCCCUCACUUCGGGAUAACUCCGGGAAACCGGGGCUAAUACCGGAUAUGACCUCCUUGGGCAUCCUUGGAGGUGGAAAGCUUUUCGGUGAGGGAUGGGCCCGCGGCCUAUCAGCUUGUUGGUGGGGUAGUGGCUCACCAAGGCGACGACGGGUAGCCGGCCUGAGAGGGCGACCGGCCACACUGGGACUGAGACACGGCCCAGACUCCUACGGGAGGCAGCAGUGGGGAAUAUUGCGCAAUGGGCGAAAGCCUGACGCAGCAACGCCGCGUGCGGGAUGACGGCCUUCGGGUUGUAAACCGCUUUCAGCAGGGAAGAAGCCGCAAGGUGACGGUACCUGCAGAAGAAGCACCGGCUAACUACGUGCCAGCAGCCGCAGUAA
rnacentral:rRNA from 1 species